rnacentral:tRNA from 1 species
UGAGAUAUAGCUCAGUUGGUAGAGUGCUUGCCUCCCAUGCACAAGGCCCUGGGUUUAAUUCCCAGUACCACAC